rnacentral:rRNA from 1 species
AGAAUCAACGCUGGCGGCGUGCCUAACACAUGCAAGUCGAACGAGAAAGUGGAGCAAUCCAUGAGUAAAGUGGCGACCGGGUGAGUAACACGUGACUAACCUACCUUCAAGUGGGGGAUAACCUAGGGAAACCUGGGCUAAUACCGCAUAACAUCCUUAGAGUGGAAACUCCGGGGAUCAAAGGAGCAAUUCGCUGGAAGAGGGGGUCGCGGCUGAUUAGCUAGUUGGCGGGGUAAUGGCCCACCAAGGCUUUGAUCGGUA